rnacentral:lncRNA from 1 species
AUGAUCAUUUUAUGACUCUAAAGAACUGUUAAUUGAAUAAGAUGUAAGAAGCAGUGUCCCAAUCUCAAAUUGGCUCAAAUAUAAACACAUUGUGUGAAGUUCAAAUUUCAAUUAUGAUCUCACAAACAACAAUAGAAGUCCUUCACUGUUUUGCACAUUUGGAAUUUUUCAAACCAACAAUUCAUUACCUGAAUUAAAGUUCUUUAAAAACACAAAUGUUCAAUUCAAACUCUAGAAGAAGCGAGCUAAAUAGAUUGUAAUGAGACCGAACCAGAAUUUGAAAUUACAACCCGAUUAUAAACAAACGUAAACUAAUCAAAGAGAAAGUAUUCAAUCUAACUUAGACCAUGCCACAGGAAGUCAAAUAUUCUACAUAUUUAACAAGUAAAGUUUUAGCCAACAUGCUAAGUUAUGACACUGAUUCAUCUUAUACACGAGAUUUAAGUCAAGUGAUAUAAAUGAGUAUAAAGAAAUUAAAUUACAACAGAGAUAAAUGAUCUUAAAGAAAUCAGAAGACUAAGAUUCAACAAAGAGAAUUUGUCAUUAGAUUCCCAUGUUGAACUACAUGUUCGCACUACACAUGUCAAUCAAAGUGCAUGAAGUACCUGGAAAAGAAAUUAGAGCAAAGAAAGUUAAGCUAAACAGUAAGCAGCGGAAAACGUGCAGUUUCAUAAAUCAUCACACCAUGUUUGGCUCCAUCAAACCAUUUUUGUACCCAAAAUGAACCAGAAAUUUUUUGCAAAUUCUAAAAACUAUUACUUACAAUGAACUCAAAUGAUAAUUUCUAGCAAUUUAAAUUAGAAUGAUGCAGAAAACUUUUGUAUUUUUUAGGGUUUGAAAAGCUCAACCAUUUGUAUUUUUUAAUGUCUGUGAUCCCUAGGAAAUAUGCCCUUUUACAAUGAAGAAAAGAGCUUCUUCUAGAGAGCCUUUAGGGAAGCAGAAUUGACUUUAUCUUAAACUAAUUACACCUUCUCCGCUUUCAUUUUUUCAACUUUUAACUGAGCAUUUUAGAACCAAUUACUAAACUAAACCAAACUCCUCUUUCCUGGAAACUUCCUAUUCAUUUUCUGAAAUAUUCCUCUUAGGAAAAUGCCCUAAGUACCCUUAAAACAUUGUUAUUAACAAUCAAGGACCAAACGUGGGUCAGGCUGACCCAAAAAUAACACCAACACCCUAGUCUUGCAAACCGGAUUGACCCUUCCCUCUUUGGGAUUUUGACUAACGAAGCCCAAGUCUAAUUCAAAAACCAAUAGAAAACCACAAGAAAAUGGGCCAAUCGGAGUUAUAAUAUCUCCCGAAUAAUUGAUUCAAUACAAAAGACAAAAAUAAAAAUAAAGGGAGACUCUGAAAAAAUCAGGCCAUACUAAAAACAUGCUAAACACGACUUAAUCCUUACAUACUAACAAAACAAUUUAAAACAGAAAAUAAGAAAGAGAAGGAAAGAAAAAGAAGAAUUAGAGGACGAGAAUGAAAUCAAAAUGAAAGACAAAGAACUGAAAUACCUAACAAAGGUAGGCGAACAAUGGGCUUGAAUGUAAUUCUUGUUGUUUUUCUGGUUUAAACAAAAAAUGAGCGUUAAUCGACUUGUUCUUGUGAGAAAAACCGUCUAACACUCGUUUUAGGCAAAAGUCUCUUCAAAGCUUGGAGAGAAAUGAACGCAUACCUUUUGCAUGAGGAAUCAAAGGGGGAACGAAUCUAGGGUUCCAUUUUAGAUCUGAAAUUAAAGGAAAAUGAUAGGGAUUUUGGGGAAAUUGAUGAUGUCUUAGUGUUUGAGGGAUUAUGGGGAGUGUCUGGUAAAGUUUUAGGGUUUAUUGGAGCUUCAACACCACCGGUGGUGAAAUCCAGCGGGUGGGAGACAGUGGUGAAAGGCGAAGGGUCUAAUAGAUAAAAGACAACAGUCCUAGGUUACAUCUUACGUUUGGAAAAUUAUAAUAAAAAAUUAUGUAGUUUCAAA